CCCAGCACCACUUAUUGAAGCCAAGGUUUUGAUAAAGCUUCACAUUCCAGAGACCUCAGAAUUUCAGUAUGUUGCAUGGGGUUCAAUGUUAGAAAUUUGGUGCUUGAGUCCUACCAGUCCCUGCUUUGCAAAUCUUCUAAAGAGGUUGUAACCGUAAGAGCAGCCAAUGGGAAAGUAUCACUCAGGGUGCUAGAAGAGCACCUGACUGCAACACUUCUCAGAGCCAUUUUUAUGUUCUGCUGUUUAAACUGAAGAAAAAUGUCAAUUGUCAUCAUCCUUUUAAGAGAACAUUAUAGACACUUCCAGUCAAGAUGGCGGGGAAACAUCUCUCAGACUGAAGACUACUCCAAAUAUAUCAACCUUCUUUGUGCACAGAUAUACUACUGCAAAGUUGUUCCGUCAAAAAUGUUUCAG